rnacentral:rRNA from 1 species
UACGGGGGGGGGCAAGCGUUUGUUCGGAAUUACUGGGCGUAAAGGGCUCGUAGGUGGCCAACUAAGUCGGACGUGAAAUCCCCAGGCUCAACUUGGGAACUGCGUCCGAUACUGGAUGGCUUGAAUUCGGGAGAGGGAUGCAGAAUUCCAGGUGUAGCGGUGAAAUGCGUAAAUAUCUGGAGGAAUACCGGUGGCGAAGGCGGCAUCCUGGACCGAGAUUGACACUGAUGAGCGAAAGCCAGGGGAGCAAACGGG